CCCAAGUGGCAGACUAAAUCAUGACCGUCAAUGACCUGGCCAAAACUCGCAACACGCUUUCACUUGCAUUCCUCACAUACGCUCCUAGUGCCGCGUAGUCUUCAAACGCUCUAACAUCAAUCCGACACUGUUUGAACUUUGGCAAAAACAGCCAAAACGCUGUCGUCAUAACAAACCCAACGGUCAAGAAUCCUGACAAUAACCUUGGCAGUUGCCACNNNNNNNNNNCGCCUUCUUAAGAGCAAUCUCAGCCGUUAAACAGAACCCAUGCAGAAGAAAGAACGCAGAG
rnacentral:misc_RNA from 1 species